CUAUGUCUAAGAUACUGAAUGUAACAAAGACACCGAACUAAUCUCAUUUUCCAGUGAUACCAUGGAGGUGCUAACAGUUUUCUUCUCCGGGUUGGUUUCCAUUUAGCAGAUCUAGACCUAAUCUUUGGUUAGGGCUUUUCACAGUCUUUUUUGGGUAUUGUUUUACCAAUUCCUUGGUCAUCUCUUGUGAACAGGUAUCAACAUGAUUUUAUUUCCUUUUUCAUCAAGGUAGUUUUUUCCGAAAUCACUAGAUUUGUAGAAUGAAAAAUCGGAAGACCCUUAGAAUUUAUUUCUCAAUUCGUUUUUUGAACCCUAGAGAAUUGGCACCGUUGAUUUUAUUUGACUGAUAUCAUUUUUUUAAAGGACAUAUUAGGGGUUUGUAAGAAUUGGCACACACUGAUUUCAUUUUUCUGUAGGACUAUAAGAAUCAUUAAUCUUAACUGAUAUGUUGAGUUCCAAUAGUACUUAAGUUUUGCUACUCUUCCCUUGGCUUUCUAAAAGUGGUUGAGUUGAGCUAUUGAACGCUUUAUGGUUAACACUAUAACUGGUUUCAAUGUUUGCAUAGGAAAGAGAAUCCCUCUAUAUCCAUAUAGCUAUGUACUGGUGAAUUCGACAUCUCUAUUAUCAAUGCUAUGAACCGAUCAAAAUGUAAAUACAAAUGCAAUUCAUACGAAUUUCCAGCUUGCAUAUGGUAGUAGAGAUGAUGACUUUAGUGUUAGAUAAACAAGAAUUAGUGUAGCUACUGAUAGGGACGUUUCAUAUAUUGAUUUAUAGGCUAUUCAAAUUACCCAUUACGUUUUUUAUGAAAGGACAAGACUAGUGAAUGAACAAUCGUGGUAUGUGUAUUCACUACUCUAUCAAGUGUUUUGGAUGCCUUAGCAGAACUAACUUUGUUGUUUUCCAGCAAAUGAUGUCAUCAGUGGUAAGAUAAGUUGGUGUUAACUCUGUUCUCUCAUUUUCAGCUAAACGCCAAUUCUUUGUUUGCUAAUUUGUGUUGAAAGAUAACUUAUAUAGAGGAGUUCUAUGGCUGAUUUUGCAAUUGAGGUGCAGUUUAUUGGUCUCGAUUGCCUCUUGUUCUGCUCGAAUUAUCUUAAUUUAUAAAAAUCUUAGCUUUGUCCAUGUUUUGACUGUCUCUAUUUGUUUUUUAUCAUUAUCAAUGUUACUUAGAGUGGAGGCACUCCAGAAACCCGAUAUGGCUUGCUACAAGUUAAAGAUGGCCUCUCGUGAAGCUGGUGUGAUAUUCAUAAAAAAGACUUUGAGCUGAGGUUCUUUUUUAUUUUGCUUUCAAAUUUUUUGCCAUUAUGUGGAGUAGCUUUCUGAUGAGUAUCGUAUUUGCAUUCCAUUACGCCUCAUAUAUCAUAUCACUCCAGGGAGUUGAUAAUAGAGACAUGUGUGCUGGUGUUGCAUUGAUUGACGAAGUACACAAGACAAUUGUGGUAUGACUAUAUGGCCCUUUUUAUUUUCUUUUGGAAUAUAAAAGUUGACUCUUUUGUAUUUGAUGUUUUGAGAAUAAUUAGUAAAUCUUACAAAUACAUACAAUUGAAAUAAAUUUCAUUGUAGAAUUAUGAGAGCCAUAGUUUCUUUUUGUGGCGGACUUCAUGAAUAGAUAAGAUGGGCCAUUAUCCCUUUUCUCUUAUUUACUUCAAGAAUCUGUUUUUUAUUUGUACUAGAACAAACUGAUGAUGGCUAUUGUACCAACUUAUUAUUUGUCAUCACAAUCGAGAUAACCCGGCGACAGUACUUACUUUGUGUUGGUACUGGAAAAUUGAUUGAGUUGGAUCCAAGGUUUGGUUCACCUUUAGACUUGUGGUUGCGAUACUAGAAGAAAAUAUAGUUGGGUAUUUGACUAUGUGGAUACAAUAUUUCUUACCUUGCUGGAUAUGAUUGUCCUCUCAUACAGAGACAGUUUAUUGCUAUUCAAUGCAUAUUUACAAUAGCUUAUCAUGGAGUCUCUUGGGAAAGAGUUUAACCUAGACGGUAACUGGUAUAUUUCCCACAGUUCCUAUAGUUCCCAUGCCUUUAAUUUUCAGAUUAAAACCACACAAAAUAGAUGCAUUUCCACUUACUUAUGUAACCUCAUACGUGCACCAACUCAGUCAACCACAUCUCAUAAAAGGAACCCUGUAAUUUACUUCUAUUCCUUGGAUAUUUUGUGUUCACUAUCAAUGAAACCUAUUUGUUUAGUGAAACAUUAUGUUAUUUUGCCUAGUACCUGUACUCACUCUUUUUGCAGCAAAUUAUUUAGGUGUUUUACAAAAUUUUCCUCACCUUCAAAUCCUGUGAGAAUAAAAGAGGAGUAUAUCUUUUCAGUCAGUUUUCUACAUCGAGCAUAUUUAUUGGCAUGCUCCAAUUGCUACAUGAGUAUCCCAACUGCAGGUCUCUCAUUCUUAACAUAACAUUUUUUGUCAUAAGUUUAGUCUUCAUGAUAUUGUUAAUGGUUCAAUAAUAUACUUGGGAAGAUUUGAGCCAAAUUGUUGCUGUGGUUUUUAGCCAACUACUGCUGUUUUUUUUUUACCUAAAAUGUUACUUUAAAGACUGUUUUAACCAGCUUCAAUGGUUCGACAUAUUGUUGCAGAGGUUGUUACCCUGUUCUUCUUGGGAUUUCUCAUGGCCUCCAAGUAUAUCAAUAUUUCUAUGCCAAACAUCUUAUUAUCUUUAUCAUCAUCAAUUUGAUGCCAAACAUCUUAGUAUCUUUAUCAUCAUCAAUUUGCCAUAUUCUUAUUUCAAUUGUUCCGUUAUACAAAUUAAAAUUGGUAAGUAUUUCAUCUAUAAUUAGUUUUGUAGUUAGAAAUUACUUAUAUUGUGAAGUCUUUACUGAUUGUUAUAAAAUGCAUCUUAUAGUAUCUUAAACUUCUCUAAGUACUGGUAUGAAUUGACUUCUAUUUAGAGAAAAUAUUCCUUAACUUGAUAGGUGAAAUAUACAUGAAAUUAUUCAGUUAGUUCGUCAAUGUUUCUUUAUUACAAUAACUGUGGCUGCUACGUUUUGCUUGAUUAAAACAUGCCAAUAUUGUUAUUGUGUUUAGCAUGACUAAUAAUUUACUUUUCACUUUUCAUUUUACAUGAAAGUGCAUUUCAACUUUUAACUAUAUAUUCUAUGUAAUGUCUUUGGAGAUUCUUAAGCUUAUGAUUUUUUUCGAUUUUUAUGCACAGAUCAGGCUACUAGUUUGUAUUUUUGAUAAUCAUUUUUCUGAAUCAUUUAUUAUCACCUUUUGUAGGUGAAGCAAAGCAAUAUGAGG
rnacentral:lncRNA from 1 species